ACCUUGAACUUUAAACUUAUUUUAAAUUUAAAGAAGUUUAAUUUAUUUUUGUUUUUCUAUAAGAAGUGUUCUUUUGUACAAUUUUAUUUGUUUGCUAUUAUUUGUUUUGUGAUUUUAUUUUUCUAUGACAGGUAGUUGUUUAAGAGCUCUGGUUUAAGAGUUUAAGAGUAUAUAUAUUUUAACCUUGUAUAUAGAAGGAACUAAAAAUGCACUUUGUUGUGGGAUGUAAAAAUUGCACAAGAGUAAAAGGGAAAGUUUCAUUUCACACUUUCCCUAAGAAUGCUGAUCUGCAACAGAGAUGGCUUCAUGUUAUUGGUAGAGAUCCAAAUAUGCGUAUUAUAUACCGUAGAGUUUGAUCAGAACACUUUGUAGAAAGUGAUAUUGAUAAAUCUGGGAAUAAGCUUUUACUAGUUCCAAAUGCAGCACCCAGUAGAAACUUAUCAAUUGUUCCUCCUUUAAACUGUCGCAGUAAGAAAAAUGAAAAUUGUUAUCCACCAAAUAUUAUUAAUGAGAUACUUGUGCCAUAUAUUGGUGGUAGAAAUAAUAAUAUAGUUGAUGAACCUUCAAUUAGUGGACUAAUAACAGAUCAUAUUUAUAGUAAAACAGCUAUAAGAGUUAAUUCUCCAUCUUCUGAAAUCAAAAAAUGUCCACCUAAAGCUUCGCCAUCAGAAAAAAAUAGUAUGAUAAUUGUUGAUCACACUUAUUAUAGUAUACCUAUCAUCUAAGCCUGUGCAGAUUGAGGAUCAGAUAGAUCUGCUAAAGGAAAAAAAAAUAUAUUCUUACAAACUAAAUUGAAAACUCUCAGGAGAACAAUUGUAAGAAAGGACAAGAAAAUUGCUUCAUUGAAGCAAAUUAUUAAUGAACUUAAGAAAGAAAAAAGACAUUUUUGGUAAAUUUAAUUUUUAAUUAUUGUUAAAUGUUGCAGCCUGAACACUAAGACCUAGCGUGAACAAUCAUUUUUAUUCAAAAAAUAAAUAAUUUGUUUCAGAUUCUGAAUUUAAAAAAUCUAUUUGGAAAAGGAGUUAGGAAGCAAUACUUUCUUGAUGACUGUAUAUAACAGAGGUUUCUCUAAUGUCAAUUAUCUACUACCGUAUAAGUUUAUCAGCAUUAUUUGGUAUUACUUAUUUGAUUUUUAGGAUCAGAGAUAGAGUAACAACAAUCUGAGCUGACUGAUUACUGCACUUUUUUACACUAUUACAUAGGUAUUUCUCAUUUAUGUUGACAAUAAAAAUAUGGGAAAGUGCUUUUCUAAAGACAAUACAGGUGUAAUAAGUGAGAAGAAAAUCUUAAAUUUAAUUAAAAAAAAUUAUACUCUAAAUUAUUUUUCUCAA